rnacentral:rRNA from 1 species
AAUGAACGCUGGCGGCGUGCCUAAUACAUGCAAGUCGAACGAACGGACGAUAAGCUUUUUCUCCUGCUGUUAGCGGCUGGCGGGUGAGUAACGCGUGGAUCACCUACUUAUAAUACUGGGAUAACUACGUAAAAAAGGUUCUGCUAACAGAUCAUAUUUUGUACCGCUGGGAUCAAAGGUGCUUCACGGCUUUCGCGAUAGUAAUAGCUGAAUCCGCGCUGCAUUAGCUAGUUGGUAAGGGAACGGCUAACCAAGGAAACGAUGCAUAGCCGAUCUGAGAGGGUGAUCGGCCACACUGGAACUGAGACACGGUCCAGACUCCUACGGGAGGCAGCAGUCGGGAAUAUUAGGCAAUGGGCGAAAGCCUGAUCGAGCAACACCGCGUGAGUGAUGAAGGUCUUCGGGUCGUAAAGCCCUGUUAUUAGGGAAGAAAAGCUGUAUAAGAAGCUGUGGCUGUCUUGACGGUACCUAAUGAAAAAGCACCGGCUAACUACGUG